rnacentral:rRNA from 1 species
AUGCACAUCCUUGGUCAGCAACAUCAAAAUGGUCGCCCUUGGUUAUGCCUUGGAGACUUUAAUGAGAUUCUAACCGGGGAUGAGAAGCUGGGUGGUGCUGUCCGCCCUCAGAAGUUUAUGGAUAAUUUUAGGGCAGCUCUGGAGGCGUGUGAGUUAUGUGACAUUGGUUAUGAAGGAGAUAAAUUCAGGUGGAGAAAUCACAGCAAAGAGGAACGCCUUGAUAGGGCAACGGCCAAUGCAAAGUGGUGCGAAUGGUUCCCUGAAUUCAGUGUGAUCAACGGGGCCCCUCGUCACUCCGACCACAGACCAGUAAUU